rnacentral:rRNA from 1 species
UACGUAGGGCGCAAGCGUUGUCCGGAAUUAUUGGGCGUAAAGAGCUCGUAGGCGGCCAGUUGCGUCCGCUGUGAAAUCCCGGGGCUUAACCCCGGGCGUGCAGUGGAUACGGGCUGGCUAGAGGCAGGCAGGGGAGAACGGAAUUCCCGGUGUAGCGGUGAAAUGCGCAGAUAUCGGGAGGAACACCGGUGGCGAAGGCGGGUCUCUGGGAAGUAACUGACGCUGAGAAGCGAAAGCAUGGGUAGCAAACAGG